UACGGAGGGGGCUAGCGUUGUCCGGAAUUACUGGGCGUAAAGCGCACGUAGGCGGCUUUGUAAGUUAGAGGUGAAAGCCCGGGGCUCAACUCCGGAAUUGCCUUUAAGACUGCAUCGCUAGAAUUGUGGAGAGGUAAGUGGAAUUCCGAGUGUAGAGGUGAAAUUCGUAGAUAUUCGGAAGAACACCGGUGGCGAAGGCGGCCAACUGGACGAAUACUGACGCUGAGACACGAAAGCGUGGGGAGCAAACAGG
rnacentral:rRNA from 1 species